UGGGGAAUUUUGGACAAUGGGCGAAAGCCUGAUCCAGCAAUGCCGCGUGUGUGAAGAAGGCCUUCGGGUUGUAAAGCACUUUUGUCCGGAAAGAAAUCCUCUGGGUUAAUACCUCGGGGGGAUGACGGUACCGGAAGAAUAAGCACCGGCUAACUACGUGCCAGCAGCCGCGGUAAUACGUAGGGUGCAAGCGUUAAUCGGAAUUACUGGGCGUAAAGCGUGCGCAGGCGGUUUUGUAAGACGGAUGUGAAAUCCCCGGGCUUAACCUGGGAACUGCAUUCGUGACUGCAAGGCUAGAGUAUGGCAGAGGGGGGUAGAAUUCCACGUGUAGCAGUGAAAUGCGUAGAGAUGUGGAGGAAUACCGAUGGCGAAGGCAGCCCCCUGGGCCAAUACUGACGCUCAUGCACGAAAGCGUGGGGAGCAAACAGGAUUAGAUACCCUGGUAGUCCACGCCCUAAACGAUGUCAACUAGUUGUUGGGGAUUCAUUUCCUUAGUAACGUAGCUAACGCGUGAAGUUGACCGCCUGGGGAGUACGGUCGCAAGAUUAAAACUUAAAGGAAUUGACGGGG
rnacentral:rRNA from 1 species